ensembl:lncRNA
AUGCAAGGUCAGGUGUGCAUGGCCACAUGUGCAGGGGCUGCAGAGUGCCCAGCUGCCCCAGUGCUCAGCUCUUGUGCCCACCAGGUGCUUGGGCAGCUCCCAAAUCUGCCUGUGGCUCUCCAGAGGCUGAUCCCCAGCCCACAGCACUGCUCACAACAUCCCUCAAUGUCCCUGCUUCCCACCUCCCAACUCGUUUUGAAGCCCUAUCCCAGCAGCAGUAGAUGCAACACAGAGAAAGAUAAAAAAUCCUGGUCUGAGAUGCAGAAUCCUCCUUUAGCUGAGUGUCUCUCUCAUGUACAAACUCACCCACAGUGCUGGGCAAGGAUUUCAACCAAGUAUUUUUGUCCCAGCUGGCUGGAUUUUAUGUAUGCCUCUUUUAGCCUGUUCCUUCCUCAAGAUUAAAAUAAAAACAACAACAAAAGUAAAAAUAAAGUACA